rnacentral:rRNA from 1 species
UACGAAGGGGGGCUAGCGUUGUUCGGAAUCACUGGGCGUAAAGCGCACGUAGGCGGACUGUUAAGUCGGGGGUGAAAUCCUGGGGCUCAACCCCAGAACUGCCCUCGAUACUGGCGGUCUUGAGUGUGGAAGAGGUUGGUGGAACUCCGAGUGUAGAGGUGAAAUUCGUAGAUAUUCGGAAGAACACCAGUGGCGAAGGCGGCCAACUGGUCCAUUACUGACGCUGAGGUGCGAAAGCGUGGGGAGCAAACAGG